CAGCAACAUUGCCUGGCCUUAGAGCUGCUGUGAUCAAUCUGGAGAACAGAUGCAGAACUGCAUCUUGAGAUCAAGGCCUUGUGUACGCUGCAGCCAUCAUUAGAAGCUGCCAGAUCUGGAGCCUGCUGCCUGGCAUCUUGUUUGUUCAUUUGCAUUUGUGCCGUGUGGAUGGGAAUUGCUGUCACUCCGACUGACUUGGCACCCAAAAGCCUCCCACUGAGAAGGUGAUAAUUGAUGAGACUGAAGACUUCCUCGACGUGUGAGAGGCCUGUGCCCACCCAACUGCAGGGACAUGAGCUGCUCAAUAAAGGAGGAAGAACAGAUUUGUGGCUAUGGCACUGGAUUGGGAUUCAGAAGAAAAGUUCAGUUUCAGGCUCUCCUAAAGACUUCAUAUGUAACUUCAGUCAAGUCACAUGAACUCCGUGAGCUUUGUUCCCAUUUUCAGUUUGUAUGCCAUUUCCCUAUCUUGCUCUUAUAUAUGCAGAGGAUAAAUUCUUCGGUAUAAGAGCGCUCUCUUACUAUGUGUGUAUAUAUACAGUGUCUACAGGAUUCCUAACUCAGUUUAGACCUCUUGGACAAGUUUCCACUCUGUGUAAACUUGGCAGAGGCACAUCAAAGAUACUUAUCUUGCAGAUAGCUAAACUGUUACUUAAUUUGAGAGCUAAUGAAGAAUAGCCAGGAUAACAAGAAAGGAAGAAUCAAGCCAUAUCAGCUAGUAUUUCAACCUGCAGAAUUCCACUGGAUGAAAUUUCAGCCUUUCUGGUGAUAUCAGCACCUUUUGAAAGUCUGUCUUCGUUGUCUUGAAUGGCUGCCAAUCAGGUAAAUGGGAGUGUAAUCUGAAAGUGAACUUCUUGGUUCAUUGUGUACAAGGUAAAUUAAACAUUUUUCAUUCCCUCAUGCUGAAAAGGGACUGUAAUUAAAUAUUUUAGCAUAAGCAUUUCUUCCAACAUCAAGAAAAUGAAAUAGUCCCAGACUAAUAUCUGCCACUUAGUGAUAUGCAUAGAAAGCCAAAGUCAUCAUCAGUGUAAGUGAAUACAACUCCAGUGAAGCAGGAAAGCUGCCCCUUCUUAUACCAAUAAUGAAUUUGGUUGAAUUGGUCCAAUAUGGACAUUUGGGGAAGCAAUCAGAUUGAGUAAACUUGUGAUACAUUUCAGAAAUGUAAUACUUUGUUAUAGGAUGUCAGUAGUUUUCUUUCUUUUAAAUGAGGGAUGUGGGCAAAUAUUACAAGUCCUUGAACUCUCCUGCAUACUUGUGUAAGGUCUCAUCAUAAUCUGGCCCUUAACAUUUUUCUUUCUUGGUAUAUAUUGGUUGAAAAGAGGAGUAAGGAAAACUUUAACAAAAAACCCAUAUAUAAAAAAGUCAGCUCUGACCACAUGAAGGGAAAGCUUGGCAUACUUCACAGCGGAAGAAAAGAGACUAGAUCAGGGCAAAGAAUUGCUAGCUGUGUUUGUUACCUAGCAACCUCAAGUCCAAAUGGAUACUUGGAUAGUAUGUAAACCAGGCAAACCUGUUUCAGGGAAAAAGAAGUUUUGCUUGGGUUUUAUAUUGUAAAAUACUUGAUGGCAAGAAAGCUAUUCUUCCUUUGUGAAGGGAUUCAUUGUUGAGCUGAUCAUAAUAGGCCUACUGAUGGAAGUCUUUCUAGUAAAAUAAAAUAAGCUAAAUAACACAAUAGUGUGUUUUCAGUUUCAUAUGUAGGCCUUGUAUCUUGUCCUUGCUGAUUAGAGACACUUAAUAUACUAAAAUGCAUUGAUAUAUUUGGUUCAGGCACAGUUUUUGAUACCAUCAAAGGGGCAGUGAUAGGCAGAAUCAGAUAUACCGAAUUAUUGCUGUAAGUAGCAGUACUGGUAGAACAGAGAUGUUAUCUAGUUAGAAAUGAGACUAAUGAGCAGGGUUGCCAACUGACUGUAAAUGUACAGACAGUCCAUGAAAAAAGGCUAAAAACAUCUAUCUGUAAAGUCUGGAAAAAAAAAAAAAGGCGGCCCUAUCCAUAAACACCCCCUGCAGCACCCCCUUCCCCAAAACCCAGUAACGAUGAGAUCGAUUGAUGCUCUGUCAUCUGAAUGAGUCUGGAUGUUGCAGGACAUUAACAGAAAAUUGUCAGCCAUCUUUGCGUGUUAUUUGUUGCAAUAAAGCCCUUAUGAGAGCAAGAAGUCUCUCUGCCUUUUCCUGAGCUAUGAGAUAGCACCUGGUGUCAGAAGUGGCUAAAUCCUGCCACCAAAUGCCAGUCAGCGAUUAGGUGAUUCCAAAUGACAAAUUUGGAUACCAAAUUUGGAUACCAAAUGACAAACCAAGCUCCAGCAACA